ACCAUACAUCAGUCAUCUGGCAGCAGCUCGAGAAGCAUGUCCUCCACGCCGUCAAUCUGAGAGGCAGAGAGAGAGAGAAGGCAUUGAUCGGCCAGAGCCCUCCACUCCCUCCAUUCCUCACUCCUGCGCCUUCCCCUAGCUGGAAACAGCAGGCUGGAAUGCAAUGGUGUGAUCUUGGCUCACUGCGACCUCCACCUCCUGGGUUCAAGCGAUUCUCCUGCUUCUGCCUCCCGAGUAGCUGGGAUUACAGACAAAGAAUUCAAGACUAAACUGGGCAUGGUGACACGCACCUGUAGUCUCAGCUACUUGGGAGGCUGAGGCAGGAGAAUCACAUGAACCUGGCAGGCGGAGGUUGCAGUGAGCCGAGAUUGUGCCACUGCACUCCAGCCUGGCCACAGAGCGAGACUCCGUCUCAAAAAAAAAAAAAAAAGAAAAAAAGAAAAAAGAAGAAGUCAAGACUAAGAAGAGUGAAGUAUGAAGUAAUUCACCCACAGACACCCAGCUAGUGAGUGGCAGACCUGGAAGACAAACUAGUUCUGUUUGGCAUCAGAAUCUAUGCUGUCAGCCACCUCACCACAUUCAUGUGACAUCCAACAAAGUGGUGCCUUCACCUGCUACUAAGUCUUGCUAGGGCUAGUUCCAGAGCCAAGACUAUGAAGUGGACAAUGAUCUA
rnacentral:lncRNA from 10 species